rnacentral:rRNA from 1 species
CCCUUAGAUGUUCUGGGCCGCACGCGUGCUACACUGAGUAAAUCAAUGGGUAAGGGAACACGAAAGUGCAACCUAAUCUUGAAAUUUGCUCGUGAUGGGGAUCGACGGUUGCAAUUUUCCGUCGUGAACGAGGAAUACCUUGUAGGCGCGUGUCAUCAUCACGCGCCGAAUACGUCCCUGCCCUUUGUACACACCGCCCGUCGCUCCUACCGAUUGAAUGGUCCGGUGAAAUCUUCGGAUUGAGACUUUGAUUUCUUCACGGAAAACGCUGUUUUAAAAAGUUGAUUAAACCUUACCAUUUAGAGGAAGGUGAAGUCGUAACA